rnacentral:lncRNA from 1 species
UCUGCAUUUUGUGUUGAAUAAAACUAUACAAGAGCCAUCCUUUUUAUAGGUGAAGGAGGCAAGCACAUAAGGUAAGUAAUUAAUGCUAAUUACACAAAUCAUGCUUUGGUCAAUCAAUAUAAUUAGGGAGAUAUGCUAACAUCCCUCCUCAAACUCAAGGUGGUAUUGAAAAUGCUAACUGGAGUUUGCUAACCAAAGAACGAUGGCGACUAGGUGGAUGAGCCUUUGUGAAAAUAUCAGCCAACUGAUUAGCAAAAAGAACUGACAAGAGGCAAAGUAUCCCUUCUUGAAGAUGAUGGUGCUCAAAAUGACAGUCGAUCUCGAUGUGUUUUGUGCGUUCAUAAAAUACAUAGUUAUGAGCGAUCUAGACAGCACUAUGAUUGUCACAAUAAAGCGGAGUGCUAGAGGGCUAAGGAACACACAUAUCUUGGAGAAGCCAAAGAAGCUCAGAAGUAGCGUCAACAAGGGCUCAAUACUCAGCCUCGAUGAUAGAGCGAGCAACCACGGUCUACUUUUUGCUCCGCCAAUAGGUAAGGGAGUCACUAAGUAGAAAAAGAAAACUAGUGGUAGAAGUGCGCCUUUGGCAUCCAGAGGUCACGGACCGACCAUAGAACCCUGUUCAAUAAGUGGAAUGCAU